rnacentral:rRNA from 1 species
UACGUAGGGGGCAAGCGUUGUCCGGAAUCACUGGGCGUAAAGAGCUCGUAGGCGGUCUGUCGCGUCGGCUGUGAAAACUCGGGGCUCAACCCCGAGCCUGCAGUCGAUACGGGCAGACUAGAGUGCGGUAGGGGAGACUGGAAUUCCUGGUGUAGCGGUGAAAUGCGUAGAUAUCAGGAGGAACACCUGCGGUGUAGACGGCUUUCUGGACCAUUGCUGACGCUGAGACACGAAAGCGUGGGUAGCAAACAGG